GUGAGGUUAACCUAAGGCACAUUUCUGGGCUUCUGGCCUACUCUCUACUCCUGCUGGGCGCCUGUCUCCAGCUGGGACGAAGGGAAGAGCCUGCAGGUCAUGCCUCUACUUGAAGCUUCCUUCUCUCUCUCAGGGUUGCUAUUUAUUAUGUCUUGGCCAGUGCACCAAUCCAAAAGUUGAAAAAAAGCAGAGUACACAUCAAACCAUUCCCAGAAUCAAACUCUAGGAUGAUUUAAAGAUCAGUGAGUCAGAUACAUGUGGAUUAAAUUUUCCUCUAACUACAUACUUGGUUAGAAAAUCCUAGCCUGGGACUUGGAAGUGAUGGGUCCUGUUUGGGACACCCAAGUUGCUAUAAAGAGGUACAACGUGUGUUCAGUUCCAGUCCCUGGAUCAUCAGGCAAGGUCUGAAAACCUCUGUUUGAGACGGCAUAAAUUCCCAGGACUGCAGACCACUGGACCAAACUUCUAGGAGGCAAGACUUGUGGACCCUGGUUUCAAAAGAUUGUGACUUCCGUUCUGCUGGCUGACCCUCUCUCCAGCCUUCUCAGCUUGCAUAUCUCCAUGAAGCAAGCUGCCAUGUUGGCAAGACCUACGUGGCAAGGAUUUGAGAGCAUCCUCUGGCCAGCAGCAAGCUAGGAACCGAGGCCCUCAGUCCAACAACCAUCAAGGGACUGAAUUCUGCCAACAAACAUGUGAACUUGGAUGUGGAUCCUUCCCCAGGUGAGCCUUCAGACGAAAUGCCAACCCUGGCCAAAAUUUUGGUUACAGCCUUGUGAGAGAUUCUAAAGAAAGGACCUGGCUAAGUUGUGCCCUGGCUCUUGGCCCACAGAAACUGUGAGAUAAUAAAAGUGUGUUGUUUUAAACCAUGAUGUAUUAUGGAUUUGUUACACAGAAAUAGAUAGCUAAUACAACCUCUCUGUCUUCCUAGCUCAGCAUUUGGCAUAUGGAGUGGAAGUCAAGUGUCAGUUGAGUGUAUGAAUGAAUGAAUGGUGAUG
rnacentral:lncRNA from 1 species